rnacentral:rRNA from 1 species
UACGUAGGGUGCGAGCGUUGUCCGGAAUUAUUGGGCGUAAAGAGCUCGUAGGCGGUUUGUCACGUCUGCUGUGAAAUCCCGAGGCUCAACCUCGGGCCGCAGUGGGUACGGGCAGACUGGAGUGCGGUAGGGGGAGAAUGGAAUUCCUGGUGUAGCGGUGGAAUGCGCAGAUAUCAAUCGGAAUGCCGAAAGUGAAGACAGCCAGCUGGGGGCUUUUCCUGACGCUGAGGCACGAAAAGCGUGGGUAGCAAACCGGG